rnacentral:rRNA from 1 species
AGCGAACGCUGGCGGCAGGCCUAACACAUGCAAGUCGAACGAACUCUUCGGAGUUAGUGGCGGACGGGUGAGUAACACGUGGGAACGUGCCUUUAGGUUCGGAAUAACUCAGGGAAACUAGUGCUAAUACCGAAUGUGCCCUUCGGGGGAAAGAUUUAUCGCCUUUAGAGCGGCCCGCGUCUGAUUAGCUAGUUGGUGAGGUAAAGGCUCACCAAGGCGACGAUCAGUAGCUGGUCUGAGAGGAUGAUCAGCCACAUUGGGACUGAGACACGGCCCAAACUCCUACGGGAGGCAGCAGUGGGGAAUCUUGCGCAAGGGGCGAAAGCCUGACGCAGCCAUGCCGCGUGAAUGAUGAAGGUCUUAGGAUUGUAAAAUUCUUUCACCGGGGACGAUAAUGACGGUACCCGGAGAAGAAGCCCCGGCUAACUUCGUG